rnacentral:rRNA from 1 species
GAUGAACGCUGGCGGCGUGCCUAAUACAUGCCAGUCGAGCGGACAGACGAGGAGCUUGCUCCUCUGACGUUAGCGGCGGACGGGUGAGUAACACGUGGAUAACCUACCUAUAAGACUGGGAUAACUUCGGGAAACCGGAGCUAAUACCGGAUAAUAUAUUGAACCGCAUGGUUCAAUAGUGAAAGACGGUUUUGCUGUCACUUAUAGAUGGAUCCGCGCCGCAUUAGCUAGUUGGUAAGGUAACGGCUUACCAAGGCAACGAUGCGUAGCCGACCUGAGAGGGUGAUCGGCCACACUGGAACUGAGACACGGUCCAGACUCCUACGGGAGGCAGCAGUAGGGAAUCUUCGGCAAUGGGCGAAAGCCUGACGGAGCAACGCCGCGUGAGUGAUGAAGGUCUUCGGAUCGUAAAACUCUGUUAUUAGGGAAGAACAAAUGUGUAAGUAACUAUACACGUCUUGACGGUACCUAAUCAGAAAGCCACGGCUAACUACGUG